AGCACUAAGGCUUCGUUUGGAAUUAUAGGGGAUUGUAUUACAUGCGGUAAAAAAAUACGUUGAAAAAAUAAUGUUAAUUUUUAUUUUCGUAUGUAAUAUUACGUUCCGCAUAUUGCAAUGAGCCGGUUACGAUAUAUUUUCUGCGGUCCCACCGGAGAACGCAGAAAUAUAUUGCUAUAUGCUUUUUUUUCAAUUUCAUUUUAUUUAAUAGUAUUAGAUAGACCUCAAUAUCAAAUUAAGCCUAAAUUUAGAUCAAAUUGGUGGUCCCUCUUAUAUCUUCAAACAGUAAAACAUUCCCUAAAGCUUAAUACGAAAAGGCUGAAUUGUUUAAGGAUGACAAGAAGAAAACUUACGUUAUAAAACCUCUACUUUGCGGCGCACGGUGUUGUAAGGAAAAACAGUAAAAAAAANGGCUUCUGGAAUCGAUUUGUACAUCACGUUAUUUUAAUGGAACAAUAUCUCCUCCUUUACUUAGCUUGUAC
rnacentral:lncRNA from 1 species